rnacentral:sRNA from 1 species
UUUUUUUUUAGUUUUUUUUU